AUAAAGCCUUGGAGGGGGUUAGUAAAAACAUGAUUUUAUCAUUUUAAAAUAUUAAAAGUAAUUUUUUACUUUUGUUUUUCUAAAAUAAUGAAAAUAUUUUUUAUAAAAUAAAAAUAAAAACUAUAACAUCAAACCUAGUUUUUCAUUUCAGUUUCUGUGUUUAAAAUAGAAAAACAAAAAUAAAAGCAAUACCAAUCAGGUUCUUAAGUUUUAUAGACAAGCAAACUUUAUACACCAGUCUAUCAUCAUCCUAUAGCCCA
rnacentral:lncRNA from 1 species